rnacentral:rRNA from 1 species
GACGGAGGGUGCAAGCGUUGUUCGGAAUUACUGGGCGUAAAGGGCGCGUAGGCGGUCUGCUAAGUUCGGUGUGAAAUCCCCUGGCUCAACUGGGGAACUGCGCCGGAAACUGGCAGACUAGAGUACCGGAGAGGAGGGUGGAAUUCCUGGUGUAGCAGUGAAAUGCGUAGAGAUCAUGAGGAAGACCAGUGGCGAAGGCGGGUCUCUGGACAGUUCCUGACACUGAGACACGAAGGCCAGGGGAGCAAACGGG